ACUACCUCUUCGAAACAGAUGAUUAAAAUUGGUAACUAAAUUAAUAGCCAGUCCAAUUUUGUCAGGUUGACAUCAAGUUGAGGAAGGUUUCUGAACAAGAUUUGAGUUAUAUCAAUUUAUUAUGUUAAGCUUAGUAUCAAGUUAUGAUAUGUUAGUAUCAAGAAUUUAUCUAUACUAUAAAAAGGGAAGAACUGGCUUAUACACGUACGGGAUAUGAAAAUUAUGUUUGACGCAUCAUCACGUCUAAACUACUGGACUGAAUUCAACUUUUAAUUUUGCAUACAGUUUCUUAAUUAACUGAGGAUGGUACUAUGCCAACUUCAAACUCUACAAUAUUCCACUCAGUCAAGUUUUCAGUUUGUCAAGUUUCAAAAUGGACCCUUGCGGAGCACGGGUUACCUGCUAGUGGCCAAUAAGUGCGAUGCACUAUGAUGCGCUCCAUUGCUUUGCCGCACACUCAAAUACAACACAUCAAUUGCAUUCUAUAAUUGCCUUAUAACUAAGUAACCAUAGAGAAAAAAUAGCAUAAUGAGAUAUGCCAUGGUAUGAGGAGUUUAUGCUCCAAAUUUCACUGUUAACUCAAGCCGAUUACUGUCUGUUAUUACAGUUUUGGUCGGGUGAGACUGUAAGAAUGGCACAGUAUGAGAGACUAAAAGCGUCAAAUAGCUUCACGAAAAAGAAAUGCUUGGACUAUCAGCCUGAGUUUACAAUGAAAUUUGGAGCAUAAACGACUUAUGGGUUAUCUUUGUAUGUUAUUUUUUCACACAAAAAGAAUGUAUCACACGGACGUGAUAUGGAUUUUUGCCCCUUCACGAAACAAAAUCACAGUCUUAUAGGGUCCACCUAACUUCUUCUGAUACAGGAAUAUUUUAUAUAAUAUUAACUGUUCAUUCUUGUUUAAUAUAAUCAAUUAUAUUUUCGUCAUGAGAAUAUAUUCUUCAAUCAUUAAAUGAUACAUUUUGAUAAUAUUGAGACCUCAAUAUUUUUCUCCAUUAGCUAAUUUAAAUUAGAAAAAAAAAUGUUCGGAAAACAAUCUGGAAUAAUUCAUUUUUACGGAACUAUCUCAAGUUCAAUUUUCACUUUGCAUUAAAACUCCCAAUAAUAUUUUUUUUCUCAUAGAAAUGAAUCCAUGAUCUACAGUUUACUAUAAUAUAAAAGUGUGUUAUUAUCUCUGCUCUUCCAUUCUGAUUUAUUACAUAUCUUAAUUAUUGAGUUUAUUCAGGCUUAUGAAUAUUUUAAAUUUUUAUAAGGUUUAAGCUUCAUUACAAAGAAAUUUGGAGUAGGCUAUCAACAAAAUUUACAAUACUAUUUAAAAUUCGAACACUUGAAAAGUUUGAAAUGUAUCCAUGAUCUACAGUUUACUAUAUAAAAGUGUGUUACUAUCUUUGCUCUUCCAUUCAAAUUUAUUAUUAUUAAUUCCAUUCCAUUAUGAUCAACUGUUGGAGCCUUCUGAGUCAAACUUGGGGCAUCGGCGGUAAAUUUGAAGACGAUGGCCGGAACUUCAACUAAUCCUGAUUCAUUAUCUUCUCUCUUCCAUUCGAAUUUAUUACCUAUCUUAAUUAUUGAGUUUAUUUAGGCUUAUGAAUAUUUAAAAUUUUUAAGCUUCAUUACAAAGAAAUUUGGAACUGAACAAAAUUUUCAAUAUUAUUUGAAAUUCGAACACUUGAAAAUUUUGUCAAUUGUUCAAACAUGGAAGUGUUCAAAUUUCAAAUUGUUCGGAAUAUGGAACACUGUCUGCGAGUACCCUUUCUGGAGUCAACUUAAUUUGAAAUAAAAUAUAUAGCUCUGAUUGGAUUAAUGUCAACCAAAAUUAUUAUAUUAAUUUGAAUUGUUAUUAUUUCAAAUCAUUUUUCGGUUGGAAAAUAUCGAAUUUCAAUAUUGAUAUUUAUUACAAUUCUACACCUGUUUUAAAUUGGUGAACCUGUAAAUACAGCUGAAACUGAUGUUUUCGUCAUUGCGUUCUUAUCGUUCGUGGCUGAUAGUUGAUUUUUUGAUUCUCUGAAGUUGCUCUCUAUUCUCGUUUUUCAUUUAUAGUUUAGUUCCUAUAUCCUCUUAGUUUAUUGUAGUUUAGUUAUUAGGUGUAGCAUUUUAUAGUAUUUAAUUAGUGUACAUAUUUAGUUAGUGUAUAUAUAUAUAUUAUAUAUAAAGAGUGCCGGACUUCAUCGGAAGCUAUUCAUUUCUCUUCUACUAUUUUCUUCUACAAGCUCCGAGUUACAAGAUGGCAAGCACUUCCAAUGCACGCCCUAAUCCCCCAAAGAGGAGGCGUGAGGAGGAUGGGAACGUUGCCCCUCCUAAGAGAAGGUGCAUUGCACCUCAACAGGCCCCUCUUAGACGAUCUCAGAGGAUAAUACAAAGAAAUGCUGAGAGACUAGAGAGAGAGCAACAACAACAACAGCAGAUACAACAUCAACAACAACAACAACACAACAACAACAACACAACAACAACAACAACAAGAACAUCAACAACAACAACAACAACAGCAACCGGAACAGGAACCUGAUGUAUUGGAUUUAUAUUUGGAACUAUACUGGGCCAGGAUUGGCAAAGGGCCCUACUGGCCAUGCCAGAUAGUUAGGGACGAAGAUGGGAGAUUUUACAAGACAAAAAG